GAUGAACGCUAGCUACAGGCUUAACACAUGCAAGUCGAGGGGCAGCAUGAAAGUUUGCUUGCAAACUUUUGAUGGCGACCGGCGCACGGGUGAGUAACACGUAUCCAACCUGCCUCAUACUCGGGGAUAGCCUUUCGAAAGAAAGAUUAAUACCCGAUGUUAUAGUCCUACCGCAUGAUGGGAUUAUUAAAGAAUUUCGGUAUGGGAUGGGGAUGCGUUCCAUUAGUUAGUUGGCGGGGUAACGGCCCACCAAGGCGACGAUGCGUAGGGGUUCUGAGAGGAAGGUCCCCCACACUGGUACUGAGACACGGACCAG
rnacentral:rRNA from 1 species